rnacentral:tRNA from 1 species
GCCCUGCUAGCGCAAUGGUAGCGCGUUGGACUUCUAAUCCAAAGGUUGCCGGUUCGAGUCCGGCGUGGGGCU